GAGAUGAAAAUCUGCUUUAUGUAAUCAGAUUUCUAUCUAAAGAUGAUGUCGAUUGAAGAGAUUUGCAUAAUUAAUUCUGCAAGCCUACAUAAUAUGGGGGUUGGUGGAGGGUCUGUUAGUCAGGCACAGAAAUUCUGUUUAGGUUACUCUUUCCCUGAUGCCAAGUGAAUUAACAGACAGAGGGAGUCCUCUAGCUGUGUAAAAAUGGAGCAGACUGGACCAAUAGUAUCUACAUUUAUCUGUGAAUAAGUAAUGUUAUCUCCUGCUCUUCUAAUAGUCCCCUUCCCAAAAUUCUAAUGCUUAUUUUUAAUAUAUGAAUUCAAUAAAAAGAAAAAUAGAUCAGUAUCAUUCAUAAUAAUGAUAAAUAUUACAAAUUUUUAAAGAAAUGUUUACCUUGAAACACACUAAAAUAAUUUUUUUCAUGUAGUACAGCAUAAAUAGCCACUAGUACAACCAAUAUCAAAGAUGAUUAUAUAUGAAGAAAUAAACUUGUUUUGAUGUAUCCUUUCUGUCUCAUGUCACUGUAUAACCUAUUAUAAAUAACUUGGUGAAAGGUGUUGAUUGAUAGACAAUGCCUUCGAACUAUAAAAAGUGAAGGGAUCCAGUUAAUUGUCAGAUGUAUUGGUAUGUGAAUGAAAAGCACUAGCCUGUCACUUAUAAACUUAAAGUGAAAUAUUUAUUUUAAUUUUGAAGAGCUCUGAACCUCAAAUCAAGUUAUGAUUUAUUUCCUAAGGUUCUAGAUGCUUUGGGUAGGUUGUUAGGUUUUAUUUUUAUAUGGAUAGGUAUGGGGGUGGGGUAAGAGUGGAGUGUGAGUUGCUGCUGCUGUUGCUGUUGUUGUUUUAGCAUUUACUUCUGUCUCCAAGAUUUCUAAAAAAGUAUUCACAGAAGGAAAUUAGCUUAUCAGAUGUAUUAAUCUGGAUCGUGCUAUCUCUAGUAGGAAUAUUUUAUCCGGUGGAGAGAAGAUAAUUUAAUCUUCAUAUUCAUUCUUUCCAUGGCAGUAAGUGAGCAAAGGCUGCCCCCAUUGUGUCCUGUAGUCUAGGGAUAUAAUGUAGAUGACUAUUCAAUGGCCAAAAAUGAGAUUAACAAAGUUAAAGUCAGAUGACUGGUCUCAACUACUACAGUAAAUAAAACACAUAAUGUUUAAUUUUGUCCUAGCACCUGCUAUUUAGCCUUCUCUGCCCAACCAGAAAUAGAAAAAUCAAAAAAGGCCAACUGAAAGAAGAGUAUUUAUAUUAUUUAAAUAUGUUUGCAGUACCACUUCCUUAUUUUGCUCAUGAAUCUACUAACAGAAUUGGAAAAGAUCUAAAUUAAAGUGAAAGGAUAUUCUUCCUCAUACCUCCUGUUCUCUGCCAAAAAAGAAAAAUAAUCAGAAGGGAAACAAAAACUCAGACCAACUAAUUGCAAAAAAUGUGAACUGAAGAAGUUUGGCCAGUUCUCAGUCAUUCAGCAACUAUGCUUUGCAAGCAUAAGGGCUAUCAGGGAAUUCCAAAACAAAGAAAGCAAAAAAGCAGGAUUUUCUGAAAGAAAUAUUUUAAGAAAUGCAAGAAGACUUGAUUGAGAUAACUUUUUUUUGACACUUAUGUUAAAGGCUGCUUUUUUCUAAAAACCUUUUUUUUCCUUUCUUUUUUUUUCUUUCUUUCUUUUUUUUUUUUUUUUGUAUGUGUGUGUGUGUGUGUGAAAAAUCACACCCGAAAAUUCUGCCCAAAUGGAGACUGGAACAAUGCCUUGAAACAGUGUUAAUUGUCACCAUGGAAACCAGAAGAAUAAGCCAUUUUGAAACUGGUAUAGAAGGCACACAUUGAGCAACUCAAGCAUUUUUCUGCCUCCCUCAAUGUUAAAGAACAACAAGAUGCCUAGUCACUGAGAGGUCAGAGAAAGAAAUCAUCAUGAAAGAAGCCACUGAAAUAAGUCCUUUGAAGAAAAAAUUCCCUAAGUUGAAGAACUAAAUGUUGAACAUGCAAUGGAAAAAAAAAAAAAAAGGCAAUUGAUCCUCAGCAUUCUGCUUA